GCCUUGUCACGAGUUCUAGUAUGGUGGUUAUUACACUGGGAUUGUAAUCGAGUGGGCUCGGGUUCGAAUCCCGAGUAAGGCA